GCCACCGCUAUUGGAAUCCGAUUUAGACAUGUGAGUCGAGAGUCUUCGGGACUCGGCGGACGGCUCAGUAACACGCGGAUAAUCUGCCCUUGGGUGGGGAAUAAUCUCGGGAAACUGAGCAUAAUACCCCAUAGGCCUGAGAUGCUGGAACGCUCUCAGGCUAAAAGCUCCGGCGCCCAAGGAUGAGUCUGCGGCCUAUCAGCUUGUAGUUGGUGUAAAUGACCAACUAGGCGACGACGGGUACGGGCAUUGGGAGAUGUAGCCCGGAGAUGGACUCUGAGACACGAGUCCAGGCCCUACGGGGCACAGCAGUCGCGAAAACUUCACAAUGUGGGAAACCGCGAUGAGGGGAUUCCAAGUGCUUACGUUUUGCGUAAGCUGUUCUUCUGCCUAAAGAGCAGGGGAAGUAAGGGCUGGGUAAGACGGGUGCCAGCCGCCGCGGUAAUACCCGCAGCCCGAGUGGUGGUCGAUAUUAUUGAGCUUAAAGCGUCCGUAGCCUGUCUGGUAAAUUCUUGGGUAAAUCGUGCAGCUUAACUGUCCGAAUUCCGGGGAGACUGCCAGACUUGGGACCGGGAGAGGUUGGAGGUACUCCUGGGGUAGGGGUAAAAUCCCGUAAUCCUGGGAGGACCAUCAGUGGCGAAGGCGUCCAACUGGAACGGAUCCGACGGUCAGGGACGAAGCCCUGGGUCGCGAACUGGAUUAGAUACCCAGGUAGUCCAGGGUGUAAACGCUGCAGACUUGGUGUCGGAGGUCCUACGAGGGCGUCCGGUGCCGGAGAGAAAUUGUUAAGUCUGCCGCUUGGGGAGUACGUCCGCAAGGAUGAAACUUAAAGGAAUUGGCGGGAGAGCACCGCAACGGGAGGAGCGUGCGGUUCAAUUGGAUUCAACGCCGGA
rnacentral:rRNA from 1 species